GUUUUGGACAGGUUUUUGGUAAAAAUCAAGUGCAGUGAGUUUGAGGUUUGUUAUGUUGGUUUUUAGGAUUUGAAGAAAGCAAAACAAGGUUGGACUGGCCUGCUGCUAUUUUUUGGGUUCUUGUCAUGACAACCCAUGGUCUAUGCCAAGCAAGCAAGGGAUGGAGUUGGAAAAAAAAAAGAAAGUAUUCUGUCUGCUACUGUAAGGUUUUG
rnacentral:lncRNA from 1 species